GGGAGGGGACCAAUCGGUAGAGACCGUGAACCUAAAAGAACCCACCUGGGAAGCUGAUGAAUAUUCUAUUGAGAUCCUGGCCUGAGACCUCCCUAAAGCUCCUGCCUUUAAAGAACAGACGGAACCUCUUCAGAUGAAAGACCAGCCUGAGCACCCUCUUCGCUCUCCCAAGCCUGCCUGUGCCUUUCUCCGCCCCUUCAUUUCCUCGGGGUGCUUUCUCUGCGCCCUGUGCCUCUCCCCCUUCUUCCAGCUGAACUCAAGGACCAAGGUCUAACCCCACUGGUAACAUCUGGCACCAUUCGCUGUUAACAAAACUGCAACGUAAAAAUAAAUGCCAAAACAGCUUAAGAUCCAAGUUCUGGAGCACGUAGACGUCACUAUUCCGCUAUGAAGCGCGUGUAAGAUAACACAGGUGCUGCAUCAAAACCUCCAGAAGUCCCAAAGCAACUAACUGCUUCACGAGUCCUUUCAAACUAGCUUCUGUGUCCUUUUGGCAUAUCACCGUGGGGAAGCCAGCCGCCACCUGGCAGCAGCGCUACGCAGAGGACCACAUCAUAAAGAGCUGAGUACCGUGGACAACAGCCCCUGGGUGAGCCUCAAGAUUAUCAUGGCCCCGCUGACACUGUGCACCCUCGUGAGAAACCCUGGGCCAGAAGCACCGGCUCAGCUGCUCCUACAUCCCAGACCCACACAAACUAGUGGAGAAGACACAGUUCUUGUUUAAAGCAGCUAAGUUUGGGGGUAACUUGUGAUGCAACAACAAAAAAAUGAAUGCACCCCAAUAUCACCACUUUCAGUCCAUCAUGAUGGGAUUCGUUCUAGAUUUCUCUCUCUCCAUAUGUGCAACUCCCCCUCUGACCAUGAGAAGCAUGGCUACCAUUAUCCUCAACACACUUGCUGGUCAGUCUCCCUCUGCAUAACCGAUUCCACUGCUGUGCCAUCAUCCUCCCCUGUGUUUCAUCCUCCCCCUUUCAACACCCCUCGUAAGUUGCUGUUGGGAAAAUCAGACACCAACUUACACCACACACAAGAAUACACUCAAAAUGGAUAAAAGACUUAAAUGUGACUCGUGAUUCCAUAAA